AACUGCCCUCAAGGAGCUUACAAUCUAGCUGGGGGUGAAUGACUUGCACAUGAACGCAACUAGACUGUGAGCUUCUAGAGGGCAGGGA
rnacentral:pre_miRNA from 1 species